CAUAGGUUUGGUCCUGGCCUUUCUAUUAGCUUUCAGUGAGACUACACAUGCAAGUAUCCACAUCCCUGUGAGAAUGCCCUCUACCAAAACACGAGGAGCGAGUAUCAAGCACGCAUUAUGCAGCUCAAAACACUUUGCUUUAGCCACGCCCCCACGGGAGACAGCAGUGACAAACCUUUAGCAAUGAACGAAAGUUUAACUAAGCCACACUGACAAUCAGGGUCGGUCAAUUUCGUGCCAGCCACCGCGGCCAUACGAUUGACUCAAGUUAAUAGAAUCCGGCGUAAAGGGUGUUUAAGACUUAAACCCAUGCACAAUAAAGCUGACCUGUAACUAAGUCGUAAAAAACCUCAGUUACAGUGAAAUGCACUACGAAAGUGGCUUUAGUACUCUGAAUACACUAUAGCUAAGGUACAAACUGGGAUUAGAUACCCCACUAUGCUUAGCCCUAAACCUCAAUAACUCAGCUAACAAACUUAUUCGCCAGAAUAUUACAAGCAACAGCUUGAAACUCAAAGGACCUGGCGGUGCUUUACAUCCGUCUAGAGGAGCCUGUUCUAUAAUCGAUACACCCCGAUAAACCUCACCACCUCUUGCCAUCAGCCUGUAUACCGCCAUCUUCAGCAAACUCCCUAAUGAUCGUAAAGUAAGCGGAAGUAUCAUCAUAAAAACGUUAGGUCAAGGUGCAGCCAAUGACGUGGGAAGAAAUGGGCUACAUUCUCUAAAUCAGAGAACCAUACGACAACUCUUAUGAAAUCUAAGAGUCCAAGGUGGAUUUAGCAGUAAACCAAGAAUAGAGAGCUUGAUUGAAGCAAGGCCAUUAAGCGCGCACACACCGCCCGUCACCCUCCUCAAACAUCACAUAAAAGUAUAUUAACAAUAAACCACUUAAUACUGAUAUAGAGGAGAUAAGUCGUAACAUGGUAAGCGUACUGGAAAGUGCGCUUGGACAAAC
rnacentral:ncRNA from 1 species